rnacentral:rRNA from 1 species
UAUUUUAAUGGCCGCGGUAUUUUGACCGUGCAAAGGUAGCAUAAUCAUUAGUUUAUUAAUUGUGAACUUGUAUGAAUGGUUUGACGAAAUAUUAACUGUCUCAUAUUUAAUUUUAUAAUUUAAAUUUUUAGUUAAAAUGCUUAAAUUUUUUUAUAGGACGAGAAGACCCUAUAGAUCUUAACUUUUAUAUUUAUUAAUGUUUUUGGUUUAUAUUUAAUUAAUACAUUAUAUUGUUUUGUUGGGGUGACAUGAAGAUAUAAUUAUCUCUUAAUAAUUUAAUUCAAUUAUUUUUGUGUUAUUUGACCUUUUAUUAAUGUUAAAAGAUAUAGAUACCUUAGGGAUAACAGCGUAAUUCUUUUUGAGAGUUCUUAUCGACAAAGGAGAUUGCGACCUCGAUGUUGGAUUAAGAUUAUUACUAGGUGUAGAAGCUUAAUUAAUAAGUCUGUUCGACUUUUAAAUUCUUACAUGAUCUGAGUUC